GAGACAGUUAUUUUUUUGCUCUCGCUCAGCUUCUCUUUCACAUGCGAGCACACUAACACACACACACACACACACACACACACUCACUCACGCUGCAUCCCUCCCGCUCUGUUGCACUUAAGUCCAGAUUUUCUCUGGCCAUUCCCGCACACAAGCAGAGAGCGACACAACACGACGGUGCCUAAGACCAUAGAAACUGCCACAGAGGUGGGGGCAGAGAUCCUCUUCAAGGUUGCUGUCAUCUGGAAUUUUAUGUCCUUCAUUUUCUUUCACUCUGUAUGCCUGUCACAUCGGCUUAACUACAGAGAAGACUUGUCUUGAAGCCUGACUGGAUUCUUCCAGCCUCUUUAGCUGAUGUAAAGAAAGAAAAUGCUUCUUCUUACAGUCCUGGGCAGUACUCUGCAAGUUAUCUUGGAGAUCACAAAGACUAUGGAGUUUUCUGGGAAGAAUCUUUCAUUUUUGUUUCUGCACUCCAAGAAGAUGUAAUAAAUGCUGCACAAGUACACAUAUGCAUAACUCUUAACAGUU